AGCUCCAAGAAGAUGACACAGCUCAAAAUAAAAAUUAGCAAUCAGUACAACCAAGUCAUCGUUAUAAGGCAUCGCCCUCUUUUGCCCACCCCCCCAGCACCAGGUGUGGCCACUAGCCUAUAUGAAGGCCCAAAAUUGUGUGUUCCUUUCUGCUCUGACAAUGGCAUGCCCAUUCGUGCGAGAUGUGGUGGAUGAAGAAGCACUUGUGCUGAGGAGAGCCUUCAGGCGAGAAAGGGUCUUCAGGGACCGGUUGGACCCACUGGCCUUCCCUGAUGACCAUCUAUAUGAAAGAUACAGGUUUUCUGCAGAUGGCAUCAGGUAUCUAUGCAGACUACUGGGUCCCAGGAUUAAGCACCGCACUUCACGGAGCCAUGCACUGAGUGUGGAGCAAAUGGUUUGUGUGGCCUUGCGCUUUUUUGCUAGUGGAGCCUUCCUGUACUCAGUGGGGGAUGCUGAACAAGGCCACAAUUUGCCGCACAAUAAGGAGUGUGUGUCUGGCUAUCAAAGCAUUAGCAGAUGUCUUCAUCUCCUUCCCUGGCCACAGAAGACUCUGUGACAUCAAAGAGGAGUUCUAUAGGAUUGCAGGUUUCCCCAAUGUCAUUGGUGCAGUGGACUGCACACACAUAAGGAUAAAAGCCCCCUCAGGUGCCCAUGAGGCCGAUUUUGUGAAUAGGAAAUCCUUUCACAGCAUUAAUGUUCAGGUGAACAUAACUUUUUGAUAUUGUCCAUUGACGAACACUCUGCAU